UGACCAAUUUCCUGACCUUUAUAAUAUGAGCAAUUCUACGGUCCUUGAGUAGGUACCAUGAGGUACCAAAAUUUUAGUAAAUUUUGGUACCUCAUGGUACCUCAUAGUACUUAGAUACCAUGAGGUACCAAAUUUAUAAUAGAAAAAAUGGUACUUCAUAGUACCUCCUCAAGGACCAUAAAAUUGCUCUUAUAAUAUAGUUGUGAAAAA
rnacentral:misc_RNA from 1 species